GAUGCGGUGGGAAAACAACUACAACUUAGCAACAAGUUCCCGGUCUCCAAAACAAGUGAGGAGGCUAAAGCACAUGAAGGUCUGUAGGAGAGAAGAUCAGAGACACGGACGUUAAUGAAUGCCGAGAAGGGCCGGACAUCAAAGGAUGAGAGAGGUUUGGGAGAUAACCAAGUGGCAGCUUUAUUACUGUGGCUAAUGGAGGAAAAUCUUUAGAAAGGCCUGAGCGCCCCGGCACUUUUUCUUCCUCAGUGAGUCCACGUAUCACCUCGAGACAGAACCCGCCCUGCGGCUGGACGCCGGGCCUGACCAGACCUCCCGGCCGAGGGAGGAUUAAAAUCAAUAACCCAUAAGCAGCGGCGUGUACUCGCUCAUGUCCGAUCAGACCCACAGUGACAGGGAACGAUGAUGUGUGUGUGUGUGUGUGUGUGUCCUUCAGUUCUCUGUUAAGGUGAACUCAAUUAUCAACCGGAAAUCACAUUUCCUGAUCAACGACGAAGCCUGACGAAGAUCAGCGGUGAAAGUUUCCCUGUUCUACAAGGAGAAACAAACAGCAGAGUCUCUCCUGUCACACUAAUAUGGAUUUUUAACAUAAAAAUAAUUAAAAUGAGGUCAAAUGCAGACAUCAGCACUAUACACAGAGACUGUAGGUAAAAGUAUUUGGACGCCUGAGUAUGAGCUUGUCAGACGUCCCAAUUUAAAAACUAUCGCUAUUAAAACAGAGCGACAUCUGUUAGCCCUUUUUGUUUGAUGUGGAAUGGGGUCUGUUCCAGUACGUGAACUUGGUUUUGAACCGGUUCAGCGCAUUUCUACCAAAAAAACCCUUCCAAACUGUAAAUACUACAAUACUGGGGGUUUCAGCCCGAAUUUUCAAGCGACCCACAUUUUGUCCAUGAUUUUUAAUGCGAUGCAUCUUACUCUCUCUGCUGGUUUACAAGAUGUAACAUAAAGCCUCCACAAGGGGGCCCUCAAGUACAAGUUAAUUUACUUAUUAUUAUUUUUCUCUGCGACACCCAGGGUUUAAAAAACCUAGCUGUAGAGAACAGCAACACUGAAUGUAAAGUACAUAAUAAAAUAUUUAAAUAAAGUUUAAGA